rnacentral:rRNA from 1 species
GUAAUUUGCAGAGGAUGCUUCGGGCGCGGUGCCUUCCAAGUCCCCUGGAACGGGGCGCCGGAGAGGGUGAGAGCCCCGUACGGUUGGCGGCCAAGCCUGUGUGAAGCUCCUUCGAC